CUUCGCCCGCCUCUACAGCCGUUGCCCCCACAGCUAAGGAGCCCGCCUUCAGGAGCAAGGUUAGCCUGCACUUUGGUCACCCUUCAUAUUCUAUUUUUCUUGUGCAAUCGCUAUAGUCCAACAUGCUAAGAUCUCGGUUCACAACCUUUAAGGAUAAUCUACCUAUCAUCACUUUCGCUAUUUUGAAAUUAAUAGUCCGUGACCCAGCCAUCUAAUGGUUUCAUAUGUGCUCACUUCACAGCUAGACGGAGAUAAGAUAUAUACCUUACCCAUUACUCAAUUUAGCCAAACGUGCGUUUCCUGAUUACUACAUUUCUUACUGGUAUGUUGGUUCAGAUACAUCCCUUCUAUGAAGAGCUUAAGAAAUUUGACGACGGUGCUUGCUAUGCUCAAGGUCCAUACAUGGAGAAAAUGGGAAAAUGAAGCAUUUAGGGAUAAUCACGAAUCUUUUUCCCGUGAUUGCCUAUGUAUCAGUAACUAGAAGGCGGCCACCAGCACUGACCAAAUCAUAUUCGUGAUGCUGUAUAUAUUUAACUACUAUGUAACCACCAGUAUGUUGAUGUUAGCUCAUCUUAAGUAAUGUUCCCUUACAACAGACUAUCAUGUAUGGCCCUGCUUUGGGUGUUCGAUAGAGAAGGUGACCAUCCUGCGAAAAGGUAGUUUUGCACUUCGAAAGAAGUAUGUUUCUUUUCGGGAACGGAAGAAAUUUAUUUGGAUCCAAAUCCAAGUGAUUCUUUAUGGUUGUUUACGUCAUUGCUCCAAUGCGAAAAAAGUAGUCCGCUCUUGAGAUACAAAGGUAACAGUGCAAAAAUGUGUCCCCCCUUUACCUGAACAGAUACUAGCGGAAGCAUUUAACUAUUGUAAGUGAUUUUUUCACUAUCCAAUAUCUUUAUUUUUGUCGAUUGCUAAAAUUCUUCAUGUCUCCAUAUGUAGAUAUUACUCGGUUGGCAAAUCUGAUGUGUUAAAAUUGCAUUAAUGAACAGUCUUGAAUUUAAUUUUUUAGACUACCAUCUUAUAUUUUAAAACAGAUGGCUUUAAUAAAAUAGGAUGAUGCCCAAUCACAAUGGUUAGUACUUUCUUACUGCUUAACGUUGUUUAUUUGCCGCGUGGAGGACAUAGAUGUGACACUUUAUGCAUAUGCACCCACAAACAUGUAGAUUAUUCUCAUUCCACUUGUUUUUUGCCAGAAAAAAUGUGAUUGAUUGGCGAUAGAUGUCAUGUCAUCAAUGUAGUGUGAUAAAAUACUUCUUUCUGUGUUCUUACUUCAUCAGGAUCUGAACUAUGUUUUGUAUAUCCUCAUUUCACAUAAUUUUGUCUAAUAGGUGUUCCACUAUGCCUUUGGGUAUUCCUUAUUAUGAAAUUGGAAGAUCUGUUGGUUUGGAUUAUGCCCUAUAUGUAGUGAAAAUCUGUUUGUGAUGUUCCUUGUGGUUAAUGUUCCAUUCAAGUGGUGUUGAAUUAAUUGUAUUCUUCCUAAUGCCAAGGGAGGCGGUUUAGCAUGAAGCACUGAGAUAGAACUUUCUUCUAUGAAGAAGCAUCAUGCCGAUACACAAGUAUCAAUGAGCAACCUCAUCCAGAAUGGGGGAACAAAGAAUGGGAGAAGAGAAAAUAAAAUUAGGUUUAUCUAGCAUCCAAUAAGAUAAUGUGUUGCCUAAAAAUCUAAGUAUAAUUGAAUACUAAAAAUGUCAGAAGAUUUUGUUUGUAUAUAAGUAUAGGAUUGCAUGUUCGAGCUACUACAACAUGUCAUACGU